rnacentral:lncRNA from 1 species
GCCUUUUUGAUGCACAAAGGAUUUGUGUGAUGGGACCCUUGUCACACCUGGUCUCAGAAGCAUUAAACUCACACCUGCACAGCUCGGUGGAUCAAUGGGAUUGCCACAGUGACCAUGAGAUCUCUGUUGCCUUGUUUCUGAAGGGAAGAUUUAAUGUUGGCAAUGUAUGGAAAUCCUGGCUAUCCAGCUCAGGGCUUUGCAUGCUUUCUUCCACCUGGAAAGCAUGAGAUGCUAUUUAGACACUGCUAGAAGGAUCAAGCUCCUGAAUGCCAGCAGUGUGUUAUCCUGCAGCAAGAUCCUUAAGCCCUGAUGGAUUUGCAGCCUCCUCUCAAUUUCUUUUCCAAAGCAGAUGCAUCAUAUCCCUGAGGACUGCAGUAAUAGUAAUAGAGAGGGAAACAGACAAAAACAUAAUGGUGAGUAUUAAGAAUUUGUUGGAUUUUUCUCUUCUUUUUCCUUUUCUUUUUUUUUUUUUUUUUUUUUUUUUUAGAAGUCCUGUAAAAUCUAAUUCACAGAGCAUAAGCAUUAAUUCAAAACAUUUGCUCACUCUACACUCUUGCUACCUGAUCUACCUGUCUUGCUGAUAUAUAUACUGCAGAUACAGAUUUAUUUCUACAGAUAAGUAUUUUUGUAUUUUGGUAAUAAA